rnacentral:rRNA from 1 species
AACGCUGGCGGCGUGCUUAACACAUGCAAGUCGAACAAUGAACCCCGGAGCUUGCUCCGGUGGAUUAGUGGCGAACGGGUGAGUAACACGUGAGUAACCUGCCCUUGACUCUGGGAUAACUGCGGGAAAGCUGCGCUAAUACCGCAUACGCCCUGGAGGGGAAAGCGGGGGACCGUAAGGCCUCGCGCGAUUAGAGCGGCCGAUAUCUGAUUAGCUAGUUGGCGGGGUAAUGGCCCACCAAGGCGACGAUCAGUAGCCGGCCUGAGAGGGUGAUCGGCCACACUGGAACUGAGACACGGUCCAGACUCCUACGGGAGGCAGCAGUGGGGAAUUUUGCGCAAUGGACGAAAGUCUGACGCAGCAACGCCGCGUGGGUGAUGAAGGUCUUCGGACUGUAAAACCCUGUCGUCAGGGACGAAGGUGUGGGAGUUAAUAGCUCUUACGCUUGACGGUACCUGGAGAGGAAGCCCCGGCUAACUCUGUG